rnacentral:rRNA from 1 species
GGUCAAGUGAAGAAGCGCAUACGGUGGAUGCCUUGGCAGUCAGAGGCGAUGAAAGACGUGGUAGCCUGCGAAAAGCUUCGGGGAGUCGGCAAACAGACUUUGAUCCGGAGAUCUCUGAAUGGGGGAACCCACCUAGGAUAACCUAGGUAUCUUGUACUGAAUCCAUAGGUGCAAGAGGCGAACCAGGGGAACUGAAACAUCUAAGUACCCUGAGGAAAAGAAAUCAACCGAGAUUCCCUUAGUAGUGGCGAGCGAACGGGGAUUAGCCCUUAAGCUUCAUUGAUUUUAGCGGAACGCUCUGGAAAGUGCGGCCAUAGUGGGUGAUAGCCCCGUACGCGAAAGGAUCUUUGAAGUGAAAUCGAGUAGGACGGAGCACGAGAAACUUUGUCUGAACAUGGGGGGACCAUCCUCCAAGGCUAAAUACUACUGACUGACCGAUAGUGAACCAGUACCGUGAGGGAAAGGCGAAAAGAACCCCGGAGAGGGGAGUGAAAUAGAACCUGAAACCGUAUGCGUACAAGCAGUGGGAGCCUACUUGUUAGGUGACUGCGUACCUUUUGUAUAAUGGGUCAGCGACUUAUAUUCAGUGGCAAGCUUAACCGUAUAGGGUAGGCGUAGCGAAAGCGAGUCUUAAUAGGGCGUUUAGUCGCUGGGUAUAGACCCGAAACCGGGCGAUCUAUCCAUGAGCAGGUUGAAGGUUAGGUAACACUGACUGGAGGACCGAACCCACUCCCGUUGAAAAGGUAGGGGAUGACUUGUGGAUCGGAGUGAAAGGCUAAUCAAGCUCGGAGAUAGCUGGUUCUCCUCGAAAGCUAUUUAGGUAGCGCCUCAUGUAUCACUCUGGGGGGUAGAGCACUGUUUCGGCUAGGGGGUCAUCCCGACUUACCAAACCGAUGCAAACUCCGAAUACCCAGAAGUGCCGAGCAUGGGAGACACACGGCGGGUGCUAACGUCCGUCGUGAAAAGGGAAACAACCCAGACCGCCAGCUAAGGUCCCAAAGUUGUGGUUAAGUGGUAAACGAUGUGGGAAGGCUUAGACAGCUAGGAGGUUGGCUUAGAAGCAGCCACCCUUUAAAGAAAGCGUAAUAGCUCACUAGUCGAGUCGGCCUGCGCGGAAGAUGUAACGGGGCUCAAACCACACACCGAAGCUGCGGGUGUCACGUAAGUGACGCGGUAGAGGAGCGUUCUGUAAGCCUGUGAAGGUGAGUUGAGAAGCUUGCUGGAGGUAUCAGAAGUGCGAAUGCUGACAUGAGUAACGACAAUGGGUGUGAAAAACACCCACGCCGAAAGACCAAGGGUUCCUGCGCAACGUUAAUCGACGCAGGGUUAGUCGGUUCCUAAGGCGAGGCUGAAAAGCGUAGUCGAUGGGAAACAGGUUAAUAUUCCUGUACUUCUGGUUACUGCGAUGGAGGGACGGAGAAGGCUAGGCCAGCUUGGCGUUGGUUGUCCAAGUUUAAGGUGGUAGGCUGAAAUCUUAGGUAAAUCCGGGGUUUCAAGGCCGAGAGCUGAUGACGAGUCGUCUUUUAGAUGACGAAGUGGUUGAUGCCAUGCUUCCAAGAAAAGCUUCUAAGCUUCAGGUAACCAGGAACCGUACCCCAAACCGACACAGGUGGUCGGGUAGAGAAUACCAAGGCGCUUGAGAGAACUCGGGUGAAGGAACUAGGCAAAAUGGCACCGUAACUUCGGGAGAAGGUGCGCCGG